UGCGCAUGGAGACGCAGGUCUGGCUGGGGUCCAUGGAGAAAACGGACAUGAAGAGUGGUCUGUUGAAGUCAAACGUGACAGCGACGCGCACGAUACCGCUGGGUAAACCCAAAUCGGGACGUAUAUGGAAAGACAGGAAUAAACAGGUUCUCUGCCCUGUUGCGGGGCAAAACUCUGCGGUCCACCUCGGAGAAGAAAAUGGAGGCCAAGAGAGAGAAGGAGCUGGUGAAUAAAUUUUCCCUGCAGCUCAAGGAAGAGAGAGAAAGAGGAAAAGAGAAAACGGAGGGAGGAAACCCUGAAAAGACGUGAGGAAAACGAGCGGAAGGCAGAGAUUGUGCAAGUGAUCCGAAAUAUGAAGAGGAUGAAGAAGAAACAACUAAGGAAGAUUGAGAAGAGGGAUACACUUGCCCUGCUGCAGAAGUCACAGCCUAGGAAUCAAAAUACUGCCAGGAAAGGUAGCAAGGGGAGCCAGUGAAGAAGAUUUUCUAAUGCAGUACAUAUGUAAUCUGUUGUCUGAGCUGGAAUUUUUAUUUGGCCUCUACAUACAAAGUGUACAUUUUCUUAUGAUGAACAUGAGUUGUGCAACUCUUUGUAUGCAAGUAAACAAAGACGGUGUUUGGCCACCAUUACCUGUCUAUUCUGCAAGAAACCAAAACUGAAAAAGACGGGUGUCUCUGCCUGUAACAAUGUGACCUAGAAAAUAUUGUCAUCCAUGUUUUGAAAACAAAACACUCUAUGUUCCGCUAUAUUUUCCUAAAGAAUAUUAAGGGAUGAAUACAUGAUUAAUUGCUUCCCUGUG